rnacentral:rRNA from 1 species
GAUGAACGCUAGCGGGAGGCUUAAUACAUGCAAGUCGAGCGGUAGAAAGACUUCGGUUUUUUGAGAGCGGCGCACGGGUGAGUAACGCGUACAUGACCUACCUUUAAGACUGUGAUAGCCCUGGGAAACUGGGAUUAAUAACGGAUGUGAUACUAGAUAUAAGGAUUUAGUAUUAAAGCUGAGGCGCUUAGAGAUGGAUGUGCGUCUGAUUAGCUAGUUGGUAGGGUAACGGCCUACCAAGGCUACGAUCAGUAGGGGGCGUGAGAGCGUGGCCCCCCACACGGGUACUGAGACACGGACCCGACUCCUACGGGAGGCAGCAGUAAGGAAUAUUGGUCAAUGGACGGAAGUCUGAACCAGCCAUCCCGCGUGCAGGAUGAAGGUCCUAUGGAUUGUAAACUGCUUUUAGCAGAGACGAAACGCCGUCAUUAAUGAUGGUCUGACGGUAUCUGCAGAAUAAGCACCGGCUAACUCCGUGCCAGCAGCCGCGGUAAUACGGAGGGUGCAAGCGUUAUCCGGAAUCACUGGGUUUAAAGGGUGCGUAGGCGGAAUAUUAAGUCAGUGGUGAAAGCCUGUCGCUUAACGAUAGAACAGCCAUUGAUACUGAUAUUCUUGAAUUGGGUUGAGGUUAGCGGAAUGUGACAUGUAGCGGUGAAAUGCAUAGAUAUGUCAUGGAACACCAAUUGCGAAGGCAGCUAACUGGGCCUUGAUUGACGCUGAGGCACGAAAGCGUGGGUAGCGAACAGGAUUAGAUACCCUGGUAGUCCACGCCCUAAACGAUGCUAACUCGAUGUUUGGACUUAAGGUUUGAGCAUCCAAGGGAAACCGAUAAGUUAGCCACCUGGGGAGUACGACCGCAAGGUUG